rnacentral:lncRNA from 1 species
AUGUGUCCUCGGCUUUGUGAAGGGCAAUCCUGAAUCUUUGGUGUUCAAUGGGUGAUGCAAGAACUAUAAAGGAAAUGUUAUAUAGCUGGGCCGGUUUCCGUAGAAGAAGAAAGCAAAAGGCGUGGAAGUUUGCCCCGUUAGCUCUCAUGUGGAUAGUUUGGGGGAGAGAAAUAGGAGAGUUCUGAGGGGACUAAGUCUCCUUUUUCACAUCUUAAGAAUAGUCCUUUAUCUUUGAUCGCUUUUUUGUGCACUCAUAUAGC